rnacentral:rRNA from 1 species
CCUACGGGAGGCAGCAGUGGGGAAUAUUGGGCAAUGGAGGCAACUCUGACCCAGCAAAGCCGCGUGAAUGAUGAAGGUCUUCGGAUUGUAAAGUUCUGUGAUGGGGGAUGAACACAAUGACGGUACCCCAAUAGCAAGCCACGGCUAACUACGUGCCAGCAGCCGCGGUAAUACGUAGGUGGCAAGCGUUAUCCGGAAUGACUGGGCGUAAAGGGUGCGUAGGUGGUUUAGUAAGUUGGCGGUGUAAUUCCGGGGCUCAACCUCGGCGCUACCGCCAAAACUAUUAGACUAGAGUGCAGGGGGGGUAAGUGGAAUUCCUAGUGUAGCGGUGGAAUGCGUAGAUAUUAGGAGGAACAUCAGGGGCGAAGGCGACUUACUGGACUGUAACUGACACUGAGGCACGAAAGCGUGGGGAGCAAACAUGAUUAGAUACCCUAGUAGUC